AGGACGAACGCUUGCGGCGUGCCUAAGAAAUGCAAGUCGAGCGGGGAGCAAUCCCAGCGGCGAACGGUCGCGUAACACGUAAGCAACCUGCCCGAAAGACCGGGAUAACGUUUCGAAAGAGGCGCUAAUACCGGAUGUGGCCACCGAGAGAUAUCUUUUGGUGAUUAAAUCAUUUAUGGCUUUCGGAGGGGCUUGCGGCCUAUCAGCUAGAUGGCGAGGUAACGGCUCACCAUGGCGUCGACGGGUAGCUGGUCUGAGAGGAUGGUCAGCCGGACUGGGACUGAGAUACGGCCCAGACUCCUACGGGGGGCAGCAAUUAGGAAUCUUGCGCAAUGGGCGAAAGCCUGACGCAGCGACGCCGCGUGGAGGAGGAAGGCCUUCGGGUUGUAAACUCCUUUUAGGUGGGAGAAACAAUGACGGUACCACCAGAAUAAGCCCGGCUAACUCCGUGCCAGCAGCCGC
rnacentral:rRNA from 1 species